GAACUGAAGAGUUUGAUCCUGGCUCAGAUUGAACGCUGGCGGCAUGCCUAACACAUGCAAGUCGAACGGAAACGAUGGAAGCUUGCUUCCAGGCGUCGAGUGGCGGAC
rnacentral:rRNA from 1 species